rnacentral:rRNA from 1 species
GACGAACGCUGGCGGCGUGCCUAAUACAUGCAAGUCGAACGCUGAAGGAGGAGCUUGCUCUUCUGGAUGAGUUGCGAACGGGUGAGUAACGCGUAGGUAACCUGCCUGGUAGCGGGGGAUAACUAUUGGAAACGAUAGCUAAUACCGCAUAACAGUAGAUGUUGCAUGACAUUUGCUUAAAAGGUGCAAUUGCACUACUACCAGAUGGACCUGCGUUGUAUUAGCUAGUUGGUGGGGUAACGGCUCACCAAGGCGACGAUACAUAGCCGACCUGAGAGGGUGAUCGGCCACACUGGGACUGAAGCACGGGCCAGACUCCUACGGGAGGCAGCAGUAGGGAAUCUUCGGCAAUGGACGGAAGUCUGACCGAGCAACGCCGCGUGAGUGAAGAAGGUUUUCGGAUCGUAAAGCUCUGUUGUAAGAGAAGAACGAGUGUGAGAGUGGAAAGUUCACACUGUGACGGUAGCUUACCAGAAAGGGACGGCUAACUACGUG